rnacentral:misc_RNA from 1 species
GCGCGCUUGAUAAGCGUGAGGUCGGAAGUUCAAGUCUUCCCAGGCCCACCACUUUCAUCGAGUGUAAGCAUUCGUCUUCUGGUUACGGGGCCAUAGCUCAGCUGGGAGAGCGCGUGCUUUGCAAGCAUGAGGUCGUCGGUUCGAUCCCGUCUGGCUCCACCAGAUGGUUUGAUUGCCGGCGCAGCUUGUACCUAGGUCUUGCACCUAAAUCGUCCGCGAAACAUCACUUCGCACCCACCAGUCCGGAUGGACGGUGAGGUUGCGUGAUUUCUGACAUCGUAAAGAGGAGAUCGAUCCGAGUUGGAUCGUGCAGCAAAUCGUUGCGCGAGCCUUCAUUAUCUCCGGAUCAUUUUAGCGCUCGCUUUCAACCGUGAGGUUGGCGGUGAGUUGUAAAUGAUCCUUUUAGCGAAGCUUGACCGCCUCGCUAUCGGAACGAUCUUACGAAGCAAGCUGGUCUUUCUAGUCAAUGUCCGGCUGCGACAAUCGCGUUCAUCGAGGACGCGUGCCUUCAAUGGCAGUUGCGCAGACAACAUUCUGCCGAGUGUGUGGACAUUGAUAAUGAGAGCAAUCAAGUGCCUUAAGGGUGUUCGGUGGAUGCCUUGGCGCUGAGAGGCGAUGAAGGACGUGCUACGCUGCGAUAAGCCGUGGGGAGCUGCGAAGAAGCU